rnacentral:SRP_RNA from 1 species
GUCGGCUCCUCGUGUGGCGCCACCUUGGCCAAUUCCCCCAGGACGGAAACGUAGCAAGGGUAACCGAGCUCUGGCGGGUGCGCGAGGAGUCUUUUGC